UAAAGAAGACUUUUAUCGGGCAGUUCAAGAGGCCAUUAGAAAACAGAUGCCGGAUAUACUAAAGGAACUAAGGGAAGACUUACGUCGAGAGACGAUUGAGGUAAUUAGUAUUUAUAUAUAAAUCAAUAUUCAUAUUUUCUUUGUAAUUUCAAUUUUUUUUUACAUUAGGGUCAGUCGAGCCAAGAACACGACAACAUAAUCACGCCUACUACAACAGAUUCAAAUGUCGAAAAUGUUGGCAAAAAAGCGACUAAAAGUUCGACUAAAAGUGGGACGAAUAGCGCGACUAAGAGCAUGACCGACACUAACAAAUAGGUUCCUCUUUAUUUAUCUUUUCGUUUAGUUUUGUUUUAAAUGACAUGAAUUGUAUGAAAAUUGGAAUGGUAUGGAAUUGAUGGUAUGUUUUGGAAUUGUAUAG
rnacentral:lncRNA from 1 species